GUGAAGAGGAGGAGAAGACAUCACUAAAGGACACAGAAUUCACUCAAAGGAGCUGUCAGGCUGACAAUUCCUGGCUGACUCAGUUUCCAUAUGCCCAGCAGUCUCCGUAGGAGGAUUUCUGCCUCUGGUCGACUCAACACGGACAAGGGGACUCUCUUUUUCUCCCAACACAGCCCAGCGGCUGCUGCUCGCCUAAUGAGAUUAUGCCCAGCUGCUAGAGCAUCUCCUCAAGAGUGGAUGGGACCAAUUAGUCUGCGGUCCUCCCAAAAGAGAGACAAUUACCACAGUGUGUCAGACUCCAAGGCGCAGCCACAUGGAUUCCAUGUAUGCCACUGAGGCGUGUUCUGUCUGCUGACAGCAUGUAAGCCUUACCC